GUUAUAUUCACAUUCUUGAAUGUUAUCUUCUAUUUAUUUUUACAGCAACAUUUCCUCAUUUGAUGUCCUAAUAUUACUGAGCUCUGAUUCCUACCUUCCCCAACCAGUAUGGCUGAUAAAGGUGGCAACAUGGCAAUACAUUGCACAAAUAUACUCUGUUUUCUAAGAAGUUUAUUUGUACCAGAUCCCAGACCCUGGAAAAAGUUUCUGGCACAGAUGAUUAGUGGGAGAAGAUGACAAAGAAGAAAAAUAAGGUGUAUGAAUGUGUUGCUGUUGCCAGAUGAGGAUUCUGCAUCUCAAGAAGCCAAGCAGAACUGUAAUUUCCCUUUCCUGGAAAAAGUCACCACUUCUUUUUACCCCUUUUUCCAUUUCUAUAUAUCUCAGAGGACUGAUGAUGAUAUGGAGCAUCAGUGGAGAAGAGUCCAGGAAACCUGAGAAAGUGCUGGAGAGAGGGAUGGUUUCAGCCCAGAGAAGAGGAGAUUAACAAGAAGCAUAACAAAAGGACUGUCCUGCAG